rnacentral:misc_RNA from 1 species
CUGGGAUAUUUGCUGCAACCUUUUGUUCCUUUCUUCUAUAAAUUCCCACAUAAAUGAUGCCUACCAAUAACAAAACUCCAGCUAGUGAAGCUACUGCUAAUGCAGCUAUUGUUUUACCUGAUGAACCUGGUUGAUAUAGGUGGAUAAUUCCCCAGUUUAUCUCUGCCUGGAAUGUACAACAACCCGCUGCCAGCACUGAAAUUCACCAUUGGAUUGUACAUUUCUAUCAGCUUGGAGCUAG